CUCCACUGUUGUCCAUCAGAGGGCGCUGUUCUCCAGCAGCACACAGACCGUAAACAGCGACUCUGCCCUUGCGCAAAGUGCAUUUAUCUUCCGCUGUCUCCCUUCAUGUUCAUUCAGCCAACGGCGCUUUAUUAAAUCUCCAACCGUUUGUCAUCAUCUCUGGCCCCUUGACACACUCAAAGAAACGCCUCGACAAAGACCUUCAUGGCUGUUGUAUUAAUAUGAGCACCGCGCGGGCGCUGCCGGAUGACGGAAUUACUCAAAAGCAUCCUGCCCUUUAUGAAAACACAGCCUGAGAUUCAUCAAGGACGCAUGUCAUGUGCCGUGGGAAUGAGGAGGUUCUUCUUUCUUAUACUCCUAUUUUAGACGUACAGAUAUCAAUUAACUCCUCGGCCAUGUGCAUUAGAAACAGGUCAGUGGUUCCUGCUCUUAAUUGUGGUUGUAGAGAGCAGGGGUGAGGACGGCUGCCCGGGCCACGUUGCUGUGUUUUAAUGGGGAGAUGCGGUAUAAUAGCUUUGACCUCUGACCUUUUGUGGUGACUAUAGCUCAUUACGCUGAUCGGUGAGUGUCAGAGUGGCAUCUGAGAGCGAGCGAGCGUGUGUGUGCGGUAAGGUGGGUCACAGGAGCGACGCUGCCGGCACCUCACCCCUCAUCUGCAAAUAAAAUACAAUCACACACACAUACUAAUUAAAACCGGGAAGAAGGCCACUGUUUUUUACUCGUUGUCAGUUGCAUUUCUCCAUGCAUGGAUAGUCCAGUGCACGGUUCCAGGAAGUGGAUUCAGAGACCAAAGUUCUUUGCUCAGUUCUCACUUUUUCUCUCAUUGUUAUAGUCUGUGCACACACACACACCGACACACACACUGCUGUAAACGCCUUCUUGUCAUCAGUAUUUCUCGGACCCUGUCGCACUAAUAAACGGUGUAAUCGCAGAGGGGUUUGCAAUAUGUUUACGUGUGGAUGCUGUAUGCACAUUUUCAAUAACCGGCAAAGUUUAAACCCUUGUUUCAGAGCAACUGUUUGUUGAUUGACAGGUUGAUUGAUUGUCAGAGCGCAUUAGCAUUUACACUACAAAUGUAAAGUGGUCGCAAGCGUCUCUGUGAUCGGAUCACCUGAGACGAAUGUUAAUACCAGGUUCAAAGGAGGUCAAUUGUUUCCUCUUUCAUCGCUUUCCGUCGUCUCCUCUCAGCCUGUCCGUCUUCAUUUGCUCACCUCUGGAUUGAGAGAAUCAACUGAGCAUCGAAUGAAGUCCCAUUGCAUCCUGAUUGCUUGGAGCAAAGCAUCAAUUUGCAUCAAAACUGUACGCUUUGGGUCAGUGACCGCGCUCAACAUGGAGAGGACGAGAGCCGUACACACCGAAGGAUCCAUGUGACCAGGAAUUUGAAAAUAUUGAUGAUAGCUGAUGUGCGUCUUCUGUCCCCGGGCCCCUGCUGUUGGCUGGAUCGGCCCUCAGUGCAGGUCUGGCCUUUUCUGAGACCUCUGGUCCUCGCUGACAGAUGGAAGCUUUGUCACUCUUGCGUGCGACACUGGGGACCCGAGUCACAGGAUGCGAGCUGCUGUAGGGCUUUUUCAUAUGGAAUUAAAUGUCUCCAAUUAGCACAAACUGUUUAGAAUUGUAAAUAAUUCCAUGUAUUCCAUGUGUCCCAGGAAUAUUCGAUUCUGAUUGGUCAAUUGCUGCAUUCUGAGGUCAGAUGUCU